rnacentral:rRNA from 1 species
AUUGAACGCUGGCGGCAGGCCUAACACAUGCAAGUCGAACGAGUGGCGGACGGGUGAGUAAUGUCUGGGACACUGCCUGAUGGAGGGGGAUAACUACUGGAAACGGUAGCUAAUACCGCAUACCAUCAGAUGUGCCCAGAUGGGAUUAGCUUGUUGUGGGGGUAACGGCUCACCAAGGCGACGAUCCCUAGCUGGUCGGAGAGGAUGACCCGCCAAACUGGAACUGAUACACGGCCCAGACUCCUAGGGGAGGCAUCAGUGGGGAAUAUUGCACAAUGGGCGCAAGCCUGAUGCAGCCAUGCCGCGUGUAUGAAGAAGGCCUUCGGGUGUUAAAGGACUUUCAGCGGGGAGGCGUUACCCGAAGAAGAAGCACCGGCUAACUCCGUGCCAGCAGCCGCGGUAAUUC